GUCUAUGGCAACACCACCUGAAUGAGCCCAGCCUUGUCAGAUCUUGGAAGCUAAGCAGGAUGGGGUCUGGUUAGUACUUGAGUGGGAGACAAUUGGCCCCUCUAUGGAGA
rnacentral:rRNA from 1 species